UGCGGCGAGCCAAGACCAUA
rnacentral:miRNA from 1 species